GACGAACGCUGGCGGCGUGCCUAAUACAUGCAAGUAGAACGCUGAAGGAGGAGCUUGCUUCUCCGGAUGAGUUGCGAACGGGUGAGUAACGCGUAGGUAACCUGCCUGGUAGCGGGGGAUAACUAUUGGAAACGAUAGCUAAUACCGCAUAAGAGUAGAUGUUGCAUGACAUUUGCUUAAAAGGUGCAAUUGCAUCACUACCAGAUGGACCUGCGUUGUAUUAGCUAGUUGGUGAGGUAACGGCUCACCAAGGCGACGAUACAUAGCCGACCUGAGAGGGUGAUCGGCCACACUGGGACUGAGACACGGCCCAGACUCCUACGGGAGGCAGCAGUAGGGAAUCUUCGGCAAUGGACGGAAGUCUGACCGAGCAACGCCGCGUGAGUGAAGAAGGUUUUCGGAUCGUAAAGCUCUGUUGUAAGAGAAGAACGAGUGUGAGAGUGGAAAGUUCACACUGUGACGGUAGCUUACCAGAAAGGGACGGCUAACUACGUG
rnacentral:rRNA from 1 species